rnacentral:rRNA from 1 species
AUUGAACGCUGGCGGCAGGCUUAACACAUGCAAGUCGAGCGGGGUGAUGGUGCUUGCACUAUCACUUAGCGGCGGACGGGUGAGUAAUGCUUAGGAAUCUGCCUAUUAGUGGGGGACAACAUCUCGAAAGGGAUGCUAAUACCGCAUACGUCCUACGGGAGAAAGCAGGGGAUCACUUGUGACCUUGCGCUAAUAGAUGAGCCUAAGUCGGAUUAGCUAGUUGGUGGGGUAAAGGCCUACCAAGGCGACGAUCUGUAGCGGGUCUGAGAGGAGGAUCCGCCACACUGGGACUGAGACACGGCCCAGACUCCUACGGGAGGCAGCAGUGGGGAAUAUUGGACAAUGGGGGGAACCCUGAUCCAGCCAUGCCGCGUGUGUGAAGAAGGCCUUCGGGUUGUAAACUGCUUUUGUACAGAACGAAAAGGUUUCUACUAAUACUCUUGGAUAGUGGACGUUACUCGCAGAAUAAGCACCGGCUAACUCUGUGCCAGCCGCCGCGGUAA